rnacentral:rRNA from 1 species
UGGGGAAUAUUGGACAAUGGGGGGAACCCUGAUCCAGCCAUGCCGCGUGUGUGAAGAAGGCCUUAUGGUUGUAAAGCACUUUAAGCGAGGAGGAGGGUACUGGUAUUAAUACUACCAGGUACUGGACGUUACUCGCAGAAUAAGCACCGGCUAACUCUGUGCCAGCAGCCGCGGUAAUACAGAGGGUGCGAGCGUUAAUCGGAUUUACUGGGCGUAAAGCGUGCGUAGGCGGCUAAUUGAGUCGGAUGUGAAAUCCCCGAGCUUAACUUGGGAAUUGCAUUCGAUACUGGUUAGCUAGAGUGUGGGAGAGGAUGGUAGAAUUCCAGGUGUAGCGGUGAAAUGCGUAGAGAUCUGGAGGAAUACCGAUGGCGAAGGCAGCCAUCUGGCCUAACACUGACGCUGAGGUACGAAAGCAGGGGGAGCAAACAGG